CCGCGUUCAGCACAUGCGUGAAGCCCGCCUUCUGCAGCCCAUAGCGGUCCAGUGCCGUCGCCCUGGGCAAAAGGGAGAGGUCAUGGGCGGGUGGAUGGAGCCUUGACGUGGACCGGGCGGGCUCCGGGCCGUGCACGGCUCUCUACAGUGGGCCCUGGUUCCCCAAACCAAGCCACCGAAGUGCUGCAUCUCCAGGCGCCCAGGCCGCAGGCACCGUGUUUCUGUCUGUGCAGCUGGGAGAAAGCAAAGGUGCCCUUUGGAGCAGUGGACACCUUCCAGCCUUCUGGUCUCCAUUAAGUCACCCGGUGUGAAAGUGAAACUCACUGGCCUGCUAGUUCUUGAGUGUGUUGAGGCCAUUCAGGAUUCCAGUCCUCCAAUGAUGGAGUCUAAGGAUGCAAAGAGACCAUGCACAGGAGGCCUGUUUUUGAGAAAUGAUGCCAUAUUAAUGGUUAGACCAGACACUUGGCUAACUCUGCAAGGCUGGGAAGGAACCAUCCCUGGUCCCCACCCCUGCGUUGAAAGCUUCGGCUGGAUUUCCAGACAGAAAAGGAAGUUGUGCGGUCUACCCAGAGCAGCUUGGCACUCAGAAGGGGCUCUGGGAUCUAUUAUCCUCCGGCGUGAUGGGGGGAAAGAGAACAAAGCUCAGAGCUGUCCAGAAACCACAGACCUGUAAUCUUUCCAAAGCCUGAAGGCGACUUGUACAUCCCCCUCCAAGGCUCCCAGAUCUCUCAUUCUCUGAGAGGCAGGGAUGGUCUGUUUCCCAGAUCACAGCCAAAAGGUGAACACAGGUAGAACUUUAUGAGAAUGUGAAAUCUGAUACAGAGCAUCUGAAGCCUUAACCCACCCUAUUAUCCUUAAUACUGGUCAUUGAAUCCGAAACUCAGUUAUAGAAAAGGAGAAAGAAGAGUCACAAAGGAAGGAGAACCUAGAAGAACAAAGAAGUCCAGAUGUUCCUACUGUCAAUUGCUGGAGUCAGAACAACAGGGUCAGAAGCCUUUCUAUAGUCACCCUAAGAAAUAACAGUCAAGAGAUGCUAGAAUUGAGAAGGUCUAGGUAAAGAUUUCUUCCUCGUAGGGAGCCUUGAUGGGAAAGCUGCAGUCCCAGCCUGAGACAGAGCUGAGGAGGGACUUUCAGACUUUUGAAAGUGUGGGGUCAGUAGUGUGGAGAAAAUCAAUAUCUAAGUCAGGUGUGGUGGCACACACCUGUAAUCCCAGGAGGCGGGAAAAUUGCCCCAAGUUCAACACCAGCCUAGUCUGCAUAGGGAUUAAGUCAGCCAGGGCUGUAUAGCCAGACGCUGUCUCAAACAGGGAGCUGUUUAGAUGGCUCAGUGGGUAAAGAUGCAUGACACCAAGCCUCACAAUCCAAGUUUGAUCUCUGGAGCUCACAUGGUGGAAAUAGAAAACAGAUUCCCAAAAGUUGACCUCUGCAUACAACCUCUGCAACACACACACACAAAAAUAAAUAGGCUGGGUAUGGUGGUAUACACCUUUAAUCCCAGCACUUGGGAGGCAGAGGCAGGCAGAUCUUUGUGAAUUCUAAGCUAGCCUGAUCU